rnacentral:rRNA from 1 species
GGAGGGGGCUAGCGUUAUUCGGAAUUAUUGGGCGUAAAGGGCGCGUAGGCGGCCCGGUAAGUCAAAGGUGAAAUCCCUCGGCUCAACUGAGGAACUGCCUUUGAAACUGUCGGGCUUGAGGCCGGGAGGGGGUAGCGGAAUUCCCAGUGUAGCGGUGAAAUGCGUAGAUAUUGGGAGGAACACCGGUGGCGAAGGCGGCUACCUGGACCGGUUCUGACGCUGAUGCGCGAAAGCGUGGGUAGCAAACAGGAUUAGAUACCCUGGUAGUCCACGCUGUAAACGAUGGGUGCUCGGUGUCGCGGGUAUCGACCCCUGCGGUGCCUUAGCUAACGCGUUAAGCACCCCGCCUGGGGAGUACGGUCGCAAGGCUG